GGGAGGGAGAGGCCCUUGCUGGGAAAGGCCCCAGGCCACGUUUCUGGGGGAGGAGAAGAACCGCGGGUGGACACCCUGGGCCCCAGGCCACCAGGGAACCUUCACCUCCGUCUGGAUAAUGCAGCCCAGAUCUCUUUGAUGGGAGCAGCUCUGGCCAAGCCCUGCCUGCUUGGGGUUGGACCUGAAGAAAUGCACUGGCCUAACCUAAUUGCCUUUUCGGACCUCGGUGGGACGGCGCUGGGGCUGGGACGGGAGGCUCUCCCACCUCACACCCUUCAAAGGGGAUGUACGUCCAAGGGUCGAAGAAUUGGAGAGCCUAAGUAAACCCAGGGUGGUUGGCUGUCCAGGGAAGGUGGGGGGAGUCGUAGGAAGAAGAAAGGAAGCAUGCAAAAGAAGGAAGAAGCAUUUAAGCACGUGAUAAGGACAUAACUGCAGUCCUUGGAAAGGUGGAUUUCCUACUCCCUGGGAAUUUAAGCCAAAAUCCCCUCAGCAGAGAAAAUGGAUUAGCUGCAGGAAGGAAUGAGACACGUUGAGGAGUCUGGGCUGCUUCCGAGUGGUAAGAGGCCAGAGGCUUUGGGUGCUGUGGUCUGCCACUGUCUGUUCAGCAACCCCCUUGAGAGGCUGCCUCCUGUGGUUCCAGGAUGCUCAAGAAGGGCUAGAGACCCUUUAAGAAGCACCCACCUGCAGUGGCCUAAGUGGCACCUAGAAACUUCUGUAAACCCUUACGGUUUUUCCUGCCUAAUCAAUCAGGAAGGGAGAGGAGCCAGGAAGUCAAGGCGGCAAACCUCCACAGCUUUGCCAUGCUGUUCUUUCAAAGCCACAGCUCAACAAGUGAUGCCAGCCCAGGGAGGGGGUGUCGUCUGUGUCUCCUCUUGCAGGCGGAAGCAGCACCACAGCCGGGAGAACAAAACCCGUUUGGAUCUGUCCAGAGCUGUUUGUCAGUACUGCCUUCCAGGACCACGUGAGCUGCCUCUUGCCCCACGUGACCCUCAUUCAAACUCAGGGAGAACGAGAGCUCCCGGGCCCCUUCUCCUCGGACAGCCUAAUCCCACGUGUGCAGAUGGGUGGCUCAUUUCUGCCAGCUCAAAAUAACUCUGAGCCAGACUUCUGGGAAACCCUGUAGGCCAGGCCUCUGCAGAAGUUAAAAAUGACAGCUCCGGGGAACCAAGGGGUCUGAUUUGCUGAGGGGGAGACGAUGCUAGAGUCCUGUGACAUCAAAGGGCAGAAAUACUGGCUAGGAAUGGGUAUGGAAGGUGUUAGUAGCAGAAGGUCCUGGACCCUGUGUGGUUGCCCUUUGGGGAAACUGGUGGACUAGACUGAUGGGGGUUAUCCUGGGAGUUAAGGGCAGGUGCAGGAGGGGAGCUGUGGCCGGAUACGUAAGCCGCAAACACUGCAACCCCCAACUUCCACUUUUUUUUUUUUCUUUAAUGCAUACUGAGAACUCUCUUGGUAGGAGCUGCCUCCUCCACUGUUUCAAAUUCUGAUUUCUCACAUCUCUAUCAGAGAGACAGUUGCCACCGUCUCUGUGAAGCUCUCUCUCAUCCCACGGUGUGUGGGCCUAGGCACUUGCACUGUAACUCUUCCCAGGCUUUGCUUGGCCUGAGAGGUUUUGCUGUUUUCAACUUCCCUCUCUACCCAGAGGCCUGCUGGGAGGCCCCGAGUUUCAUCUUUGCAGCUCCCUCUUGGCACAACUCCCGGGGAAGUGAG
rnacentral:lncRNA from 1 species